CGAACCGGAUUAGAUACCCGGGUAGUCCACGCCGUAAACUAUGGAUACUAGCUGUUGGAGGUAUCGACCCCUUCAGUAGCGAAGCUAACGCGUUAAGUAUCCCGCCUGGGGAGUACGGUCGCAAGACUAAAACAUAAAGGAAUUGACGGGGACCCGCACAAGCGGUGGAGCGUGUUCUUUAAUUCGAUGAUAAACGAAGAACCUUACCAGGGCUUGACAUCCCUUGAAUUACUCCGAAAGGAGUGAGUGCUUUAUUGAGCAAGGUGACAGGUGUUGCAUGGCCGUCGUCAGCUCGUGUCGUGAGAUGUUUGGUUAAGUCCAGCAACGAGCGCAACCCCUGUUGCCAGUUACCAGCACGUCAAGGUGGGGACUCUGGCGAGACUGCCCAGAUCAACUGGGAGGAAGGUGGGGACGACGUCAGGUCAGUAUGGCCCUUAUGCCCAGGGCUGCACACGUACUACAAUGCCCAGUACAGAGGGGGCCGAAGCCGCGAGGCGGAGGAAAUCCUGAAAACUGGGCCCAGUUCGGACUGUAGGCUGCAACCCGCCUACACGAAGCCGGAAUCGCUAGUAAUGGCGCAUCAGCUACGGCGCCGUGAAUACGUUCCCGGGUCUUGUACACACCGCCCGUCACAUCAUGGGAGCUGGUUUCGCCCGAAGUGCAUGCGCCAACCGCAAGGAGGCAGUGCCCUAAGGCAAGACUGGUGACUGGGAUGAAGUCGUAACAAGGUAGCCGUAGGGGAACCUGCGGCUG
rnacentral:rRNA from 1 species